CUAAGUAUCAUUUGAAAUUUUCUUUUCCGUUUCAUAUGUUGAAUAUAGGGAUAGUGCCAGGAAAGCUCUAAGUUCUGCUACUUGAUUAUGCCUUAAACAGAAAUUCAACUUUAUUUUUUCUCUUGUAGGCCUCAUUUGAGCGAGCAAAAAAAUGGGUGCUAGAACUGAAAUCACAAGGGCUGUAAGACAUCAUUUUGCUCUUUGUGCUGGCUUGCUGUAAGAAAAUUGAUCCUUAUUUACUGGCUAUCAUUUUCAUGGAUGCGCACAAUAGCAAAGACAAAUUUAAUCAUGCUUUGGGUUAUGCAUAUAUACUCACGCACCCCGGAAUACCUUCCGUCUUCGAUGACCACUUCUAUGAUUCGGGUGAUUCCAUUCAUGAUCAGAUUGUGAAACUGGUACAGCAGUAUGGCUAGCUAGUUCUUUUAUUAACUUGUGUCUAGUAGAAAUUCUUCCUUCUUUAAGCAUUUGGACUUGUCUGCAUGUCCAGAUUAGUAGAUAUGGGUCAUUUUGAAUUGAUAUUCAUGAUUAGGUUUGUGUACAUGAGACAAUGGUGGAUUAAUGGAAAUUGUAAUGAAUGAUUUUGGAUGUAGAUUUUAUGGUUUC